AGUAACAUAUGGCCUCAUCUUGUUUCCUUAACACAUUUAUUGUCAAGGUUGAAGUGGAAGCUUGUUGUUCUUCCCACUUAAGGGACCAUAAGGAAGCUUUGUUGAGACAAAUGUUAGAUAUUCUAUCCCUGAUCUGCUGUCAGUCCCAGUGAACAGCUCCUUUGUUAAUGUCCUCAGAGAAAACCUUGCAUGAUACGUGGGCAUGCUCAUCUCUUGCUCUAGAAAAUGAUAUUUCAGGUUGUUCCAUCUUUAUCUGCCCAAGGGCAACUGCAAGCAAUGAUGAGAAAUUCCCAAGAACAAAUGAUAUGGAAAGAGGCAAUAAGAAAAAAUUUCUUGAGUCUCUUCUGUAGACUGAAGUGCCUGGGGGACAACUCACAAGCCCGAAGGGUUGAGAAGAUGACUGCUUCCAGAAGUGGCAUCCAGUUUGCCUGGCAGACUCCCCAGCAAUAAGACUGAAGUGACCAGGGGCAACUCACAGACUCAAGAGGGAUGAGAAGAUGACUGCUUCCAGCAGGGGCAUCCUGUGGCCUGGCUGAUUUCCCAGCAACAAGAUGGACUGUCUACCUUUCUUUACCUUGCCCUGAGAAUUAAGACUGCAUGGAUGGUUUUCCUUAUUCUUUGGUUGCUAUUUGGAAGCAGUCAAUGAAGCAUCAGCCCGAGACUGGGAAGGGGACACAGAGGGAGCUCAGGGUUCUCUUCCUGACAGAUGAUCUGCAUCAUUCCCCGGAGCCAAUACAUAAAGCCAUCUACCCCAGAGCCAGAGGUAUAUGCUCAGGAACCAACAGGUGCAGGUGGGAGUGGCCAUUCACUUUUAUACCAAUUAAUUCACUAGAAGAAUUAUUUUCUCCCAGGCCCUGGAUCCACAGGCUUGGAAAUCUGAUGCCCAAAAAGGAAUGAUUUUGUCAGGUGACACCAUCAUGGUUCUUUGAACUCUAACUUCCAUUGGCCAACAUUCAAUGGUAAUCAGAGCAAAGAUGCCCAUUAGUGGAAUCCAUAGUGGUUAGUCUCCUGAGGCACAGAGCAGGGUGGAUAAAUGUGUAAUGUCAAUCCUGGGAGGGGUGAAGAACAGAAGCUUUUGCAGAAUCCAACAUUUGUGCUGUCAGCAUCCACUCUUGUCCUUUGGGAGGAAAAUCCACCCCAUCCCCCAAAAUAGGGGACACACAGAGCUCUAUUUGAAAAUCUGUUUUUUUCUCAGUCUCCAGAUGAAGAUCACAUGAGGCUGAUUUUUAGCAACCUUCCAUGAACUGUACAAAUCACAUUUUCAGGCAAUAGAAGUGCCAAACAACCUUGCUAAAGGAAAUUCAGUUUGUGUGGAGCAAUGUGUUAAAUUCUGCACAAGAUGAUCUCAUUCCUGCAUCUGCAUGUGGACAAAAGAAAUGCAAAGAAAGCAAGGAAGUCACAGUACAGUAUUAAUAAGAAGACUAUUUGUGCCACUUGCUGUAGUACUUGGUAUCUGUUCUAUACAGGGGGAAAGACACACUCUGACCCAGAAGCUUCUCUGAGCUCAUCAAGCAUGAACUUUGUAUCUAACUUGGCAGAUGGAGUCACUUGGAAUCCGGAGAGAAAACUAGAUUUUGUUUCGUAAAAGAAGCCAAAGUUAUUUGAGAAGAGGAGAGAGGACAGCCCGGGUGGCUCAGAGGU